GGAUGGAUGUCUGAGCGGUUGAAAGAGUCGGUCUUGAAAACCGAAGUAUUGAUAGGAAUACCGGGGGUUCGAAUGCCCGAUCCA
rfam:Oryza sativa Japonica Group DNA, chromosome 12, cultivar: Nipponbare, complete sequence.